GACGAACGCUGGCGGCGUGCCUAAUACAUGCAAGUCGAACGCUUCUUUCCUCCCGAGUGCUUGCACUCAAUUGGAAAGAGGAGUGGCGGACGGGUGAGUAACACGUGGGUAACCUACCCAUCAGAGGGGGAUAACACUUGGAAACAGGUGCUAAUACCGCAUAACAGUUUAUGCCGCAUGGCAUAAGAGUGAAAGGCGCUUUCGGGUGUCGUUGAUGGAUGGACCCGCGGUGCAUUAGCUAGUUGGUGAGGUAACGGCUCACCAAGGCCACGAUGCAUAGCCGACCUGAGAGGGUGAUCGGCCACACUGGGACUGAGACACGGCCCAGACUCCUACGGGAGGCAGCAGUAGGGAAUCUUCGGCAAUGGACGAAAGUCUGACCGAGCAACGCCGCGUGAGUGAAGAAGGUUUUCGGAUCGUAAAACUCUGUUGUUAGAGAAGAACAAGGACGUUAGUAACUGAACGUCCCCUGACGGUACCUAACCAGAAAGCCACGGCUAACUACGUG
rnacentral:rRNA from 1 species